rnacentral:miRNA from 1 species
GUAAAGCUACAGUUCGGACUUCU